GAUGAGAACGUAGCGAAAUGCGAUAAGUAAUGUGAAUUGCAGAAUUCAGUGAAUCAUCGAAUCUUUGAACGCACAUUGCGCCCCCUGGUAUUCCGGGGGGCAUGCCUGUCCGAGCGUCAUUACAACCCUCAAGCUCAGCUUGGUGUUGGGCCCCGCCGCCCCGGCGGGCCCUAAAGUCAGUGGCGGUGCCGUCCGGCUCCGAGCGUAGUAAUUCUUCUCGCUCUGGAGGUCCGGUCGUGUGCUCGCCAGCAACCCCCAAUUUUUUUCAGGUUGACCUCGUAUCAGGUAGGGAUACCCGCUGAACUUAAGCAUAUCAAUAAGCGGAGGA
rnacentral:misc_RNA from 1 species